rnacentral:rRNA from 1 species
GGUACUCAGUUCGGAUUGAAGGCUGAAAUUCGCCUUCAUGAAGCUGGAAUUGCUAGUAAUGGCAGGUCAGCAUACUGCCGUGAAUACGUUCCCGGGCCUUGUACACACCGCCCGUCACACCAUGAGAGUUUGUAACACCCAAAGCCGGUGGGGUAACCUUUUGGAGCCAGCCGUCUAAGGUGGGACAGAUGAUUGGGGUGAAGUCGUAACAAGGUACC